CCUAGCCGCCGCGCCGAACGGUUCCUUCGAUCUCUCUCCUCAGCUGAGCUCCCCUGUCUUGCCUCGCUUCACCUCCGAUCGUGCGGGACGACGGACGCGAUCGGAAUCCUAGGCAGUGAUGCGCAAGGCGAUGAGAUGUGGAUCCUUGCGCACGGAGAACUCAUCCGCCGCCAGCAAGCCUCCGCCAGGCACAUCCUCUAUCAACAUCUGAUUCAUCCACUAGCGACCAUUUUCUUUCUAUGUGAGAGCCGAAGUUGGUGCCAACCAACAUGGAGGGGACACAGUACCUGAGAGAAUGCAUUUGAACGAGGGACAUGCUAAAUUGCUAAUGAUGAGCAACAUUCGUUUAGUCAUAUGAAUUUCCUAGAAGUGUAAUUGGAUCUCUAAGUUGAUCUACCCGAUCUGAUCCAGGAAAAGGGGCCAGUCAAUCCAAUUAGAAAUCAGCAAGGUCAAACGUU